rnacentral:lncRNA from 1 species
CGAGGCUGUAGGCUUGUUAGAGAUGGGAGGCUGUUAGGUUUGUUAGAGAAGGGAGGCUGUAGGCUUGUUAGAGAUGGGAGGCUGUUAGGUUUGUUAGAGAAGGGAGGCUGUAGGUUUGUUAGAGAUGGGAGGCCGUAGGUUUGUUAGAGAUGGGAGGCUGUAGGCUUGUUAGAGAUGGGAGGCUGUAGGCUUGUUAGAGAUGGGAGGCUGUAGGUUUGUUAGAGAUGGGAGGCUGUUAGGUUUGUUAGAGAUGGGAGGCUGUAGGUUUGUUAGAGAUGGGAGGCUGUUAGGUUUGUUAGAGAUGGGAGGCUGUAGGUUUGUUAGAGAUGGGAGGCUGUUAGGUUUGUUAGAGAAGGGAGGCUGUUAGGUUUGUUA